GACGGUAAGACCCCGUGCACCUUAACUAUAGCUUCGCAGUGACAACCUUAAUCGAAUGUGUAAGAUAGGUGGGAGGUGGUGACACACAACGACCAAUCCUGAAAGACCACUCUUUCGUCUAAGGAUGCCUAACUAUCAUACCGAUCAUUCGGGGGGAGGCGGGAUACUGCGAGGUGGGUAGUUUAUCUGGGGCGGAUGCCUCCUAAAGAGUAACGGAGGUGUGCGAAGGUAGGCUCAAGCUAAGAUUAUGCUUGUGAGCGUAAUCGUAUAAGUUUGCCUGACUGUGAAACCGACUGGUCGAACAGAGACAAAAGUCGGCCAUAGUGAUCCGGGAGUCCCGUGUGGAAGGGUUCUCGCUCAAUGGAUCAAAGAUACACUGGGGAUAAUAGGCUGAUGACUCCCAAGAGCUCUUAUCGACGUAGUCGUUUGGCACCUCAAUGUCGACUCAUCACAUCCUGAGGUUGAAGAAGGUCCCAAGGGUUCGGUUAUUCUCCGAUUCAAGUGGUACGUGGAUUGGGUUUAGAACGUCGUGAGACAGUAAGGAAGAAAAAAUCUGCAAGGAGCCAAUCCUAGUACGAUAGGACUAGGUUGGGCUAACCUAUGGUGUAUCGGGUGUUAUGCCAAUAGCAGCACCGGGCAGCUAAGCUAGUAUGGAAGAACCGCUGCGCCGCGGAAAAUCCUUUUCUAUACAAGUUCUCGGAUGAGGUUUUUGAACAGAACUUCGAUAGGCGAGAGGUGUAAGAAUNNNNNNNNNNNNNNNNNNNNNNNNNNNNNNNNNNNNUAACAAAAAUAAAAGAAAGUACAACCUAUUCCUAAAAUUGUGGUCAGUCUCGCUACCUCUUUAGUUGCCGCCCCCUACUUGCUCAUUUGCAAUUACUACCACAAGAAAGUCGCGCCCUUCUCUAAAGGGACUUAUGCACUUUACGACUUUCUUAUGUUAUGGGAUCUCGAAGAUUGAAUUUAGCUUCCAACCUUAGUCAGCAAGCUGAAAAACUUUCUUAAGAACAUGAAAAGCGGGGACUCUUUAACUUGGCAAAAUAUAGAUAAAAAAAUAAAAACAAUGGGGGGGAGGGGGGGUCGUGGUCUAAAGAAAUGAAUAGAAAAAAAAAAUGGAGGGGUCGACCGGGCCAGAUCAUGAGUGAAUAGAAAAAAAAUAUACAUAGCUGUUCCAGCUGAAAUACUUAGAAUAAUUCUACCACUUCUACUAGGAGUAGCCUUUUUAGCGCUAGAUGAACGUAAAGUAAUGAAUUUUGUGCAACGUCAAAAGGGUCCUGAUGUAGUGGGAUCGUUUGGAUUGUUACAACCUCUAGGAGAUGGUUUGAAAUUGAUUCUAAAAGAACCUAUUUUACCAAGUCUGGUCGCUCGGGCCGUUGUACCUUUUUAUUAAGGUAUGGUAUUGUCAGAUCCGAACAUAUGGCUACUUUAUUUAUUUGCCAUAUCUUUGCUAGGUGUUUAUGGAAUUAUUAUAGCAGGUUGGUCAAGUAAUUAGGAGGCGGUCGUUCGGCCGCCUAUGAUACUAGGACCAAUAGGUUCAAAAUGGGUUUGUGCCGCAGGUGUUGAACGAUCUACUCUACACAUGUAUGGGCUUACAGGGCUAGGUCUCAUAAACCCUUUCUUUCAUUUAUCAAUAGGGACCUGUCCUGGUCGGUCACUUUUCUGGGCCAGGAUCGAUAAGUGAAAGUCAUAAAAAAGAAAUCUUUCUCUUCACACCUCAGAUCAAGAGGAAGGGUUGCUUGUCAAGCUGGCUUACAUAUAAUAAUAAAAAAUUUCUUUCUAUUUUAUAUAAUUAUAAGAAAAAUGGAAAGAUUUAUGAAUCAGUAAAAUUAAACAAGUCUACCUCUAUUUUUUAUAAGAUACAUGAAUCAAUAAAAUUAAAUAAUAGACCAUCAAGUCAUGUAACCAGGAAAUGAACAAAUAAUAAUUGAUAGAAGAAAUGGGGAGCAGUAAACGAAAUGAAAGGAUAGGACAAGAGAAAAGUAACUUUGGAUGCUGAUGAUGAGCUUUUCUUGAUUUUUGGAUUGGAUGGGAAUUGAUGCAUACACAAGGCUAUUUAUAUGUGAAAAUAAUAGGCUUACGGGACGUAGUCACUUGACACUUUUCCUAGUUCGUAUGCCAAGUAUUUUGAGCUUUGCCAUUUUUUCAUGAGCGCAUGCAGUCUUUUGUCCAAUUGUAAAAAUCUUGCCAUGCACCAAUCUUCUUAGAGUAUUUCUACACAAGGCUUCAUGCAAGAAGCCACUUGUAAAAUUUUUAAAUAAUCUUUUGUCAUACAUAUAUUAAUUAUCUAACAAUAUAAUAUCCCAUUUUUCUAUCUGCUAGACUAUUUGCAUUCCCUUUGAUUGAGAAAUUUCCUUACUCAAAACUUUAUUUAAACUAAUUUUGUUAAGAAGUUAAUUCCAGUAUUCCCAAUGAUAGUUUAUCAUGAAAUAAUUCCAAAAAAUGUUCUCUUUUUACACUUGUUUAUGCGACCAAAGGGCUAUCUUGCGUAAUUACUCCACUUAAUUUGGUAGAAAUUAGGAUGUUCUUUAACUGUACUUUACUGUGAGCAAAAUUGAUUAUUUGGAAGUUCAUCUUAGUAUAAAAUGAAAAGGAUCAUAGCUUCAAACCAUAUACCGUGAUAUUUCAUUAAUUAUUCAAAGUUUCAAAAUUUAACAGCAGAUUAUAAAUAGAUAGAUAUCAAAUCAAGCUGAUGCAACCAACAAUUUGAUCAAAUAUCAGAGUGGAGAAGUUUUAUUUUGAGUGAUACUCAACCAACAAUAGUUGUAUGAGGUCAUAUACUAAGCUUGACAUAAAAUAUGUCUAUAGGCGAAGGGAUGAAAGCCCCACGACGGUAAGACCUCGUGCACCUUAACUAUAGCUUCGCAGUGACAACCUUAAUCGAAUGUGUAAGAUAGGUGGGAGGUGGUGACACACAACGACCAAUCCUGAAAGACCACUCUUUCGUCUAAGGAUGUCUAACUAUCAUACCGAUCAUUCGGGGGGAGGCGGGACACUGCGAGGUGGGUAGUUUAUCUGGGGCGGAUGCCUCCUAAAGAGUAACGGAGGUGUGUGAAGG
rnacentral:lncRNA from 1 species